rnacentral:rRNA from 1 species
UACAGAGGUCCCAAGCGUUGUUCGGAUUCACUGGGCGUAAAGCGUGCGCAGGCGGUUUCGUAAGUCUGUCGUGAAAUCCCCGGGCUUAACCUGGGAAUGGCGAUGGAGACUGCGAGGCUAGAGUUUGGCAGAGGGGGGUAGAAUUCCACGUGUAGCAGUGAAAUGCGUAGAGAUGUGGAGGAACACCGAUGGCGAAGGCAGCCCCCUGGGUCAAAACUGACGCUCAUGCACGAAAGCGUGGGGAGCAAACAGG